rnacentral:rRNA from 1 species
GACGAACGCUGGCGGCGUGCUUAACACAUGCAAGUCGAGCGGUAAGGCCCUUUCGGGGGUACACGAGCGGCGAACGGGUGAGUAACGCGUGGGUGACCUGCCCUUAGCUCUGGGAUAAGCCUGGGAAACUGGGUCUAAUACCGGAUAUGACUCCAUGACGCAUGUUGUGGGGUGGAAAGCCUUGUGCGGCUAGGGAUGGGCCCGCGGCCUAUCAGCUUGUUGGUGGGGUGAUGGCCUACCAAGGCGACGACGGGUAGCCGGCCUGAGAGGGCGACCGGCCACACUGGGACUGAGACACGGCCCAGACUCCUACGGGAGGCAGCAGUGAGGAAUCUUGCGCAAUGGG